rnacentral:misc_RNA from 1 species
AACGCAUCUUGCACCCUUUGGCAUUCCGAAGGGUAUGCCUGUUUGAGUGUCUUUAACAACAUCAACUCUGUCCGUGAGGGUAACGCCUCUCGGGUGGAUGUUGGACGUGAGUGCUGCCGUGAUUCUUUUGCCGGCUCACUUGAAAAGCCUUAAGCCUGGUCUCUGACGGUCUUGACUCCUGUCGGGUUGGUGUGGUAGAACUCCCUAUGGGAUUUAAAUCGCCUCCGAUGGAUGUUGUCGACCUCGUGGUGGGCUUCUGUCCGCACUUCGGUGUGGAACUUUUUGAUCGGACCUCAAAUCAGGUAGGACUACCCGCUGAACUUAA